CAACCCUUAAGCCCUGUAGCUUAGCGCUGGGAGUCCGCUAAUUUUAGCGGUUCCUUAAAGUUAUUGGCGGAGUUAUAGCGUACUCUAAGCGUAGUAAUUUUUAUCUCGCUUCUGUAGUAGCCCUAACUGUUAGCCAUAAAACCCCUAUAUUUUUCUAAU
rnacentral:misc_RNA from 1 species